CCUAUCAAUGACAAAGAGGAAGAAAGACAAAUGUUAUCCAGUGGACCUGAAUAAGGUAGGAAACAUGAACAAUGGCUUUUCCACCCACCUUUGGAGGGGAUUUGGAUCAGCCAUGAUCUGGCAAAGUCGGCCGUAGUUAAAGAUCCUGCCAGAUACCAGGAGUUCGUGGGCCUCUUUCUUGGCCUUCUCCAUCACUGCAUUAAUGGCUUCCGGUGUACCAUUCUUCAUGCAGAUUUCUGUGGGAUGUGAAAUGUGGAGUGGCUGUACUGAUGUUAUUUUGUUUCACACAGUAAAUCACCUUCCGGAAUGGCAAACCCCUGUGUGUGGCUCAGCUCAUUAAUUCAUUCAACACAACGCAGAAGGAUUCUAGUCGACUAGUGCAGACAUGCCGGCUACAGUGGUGCCGUGACCCGGAUUCACAUCGCUCAGCCCUUUAUCGUGGUUCUUGGAGCAGUGGAUCAACGCCAGCUCGGUCACCGGAGGUUGCUGUCAUCACGUCGAGAGUCCGGGGGUUUGGUUUUUUUUAGAAAAAAAAAAAAGACAUUCAUACACACAGCUGAAAUAUCAUCAGAUCGGUUUUGCUUAAAGGUUCAACCUUCCCUUUUGUGAACU
rnacentral:lncRNA from 1 species